rnacentral:rRNA from 1 species
GAUGAACGCUGGCGGCGUGCCUAAUACAUGCAAGUCGAGCGAACGGACGAGAAGCUUGCUUCUCUGAUGUUAGCGGCGGACGGGUGAGUAACACGUGGAUAACCUACCUAUAAGACUGGGAUAACUUCGGGAAACCGGAGCUAAUACCGGAUAAUAUUUUGAACCGCAUGGUUCAAAAGUGAAAGACGGUCUUGCUGUCACUUAUAGAUGGAUCCGCGCUGCAUUAGCUAGUUGGUAAGGUAACGGCUUACCAAGGCAACGAUGCAUAGCCGACCUGAGAGGGUGAUCGGCCACACUGGAACUGAGACACGGUCCAGACUCCUACGGGAGGCAGCAGUAGGUAAUCUUCCGCAAUGGGCGAAAGCCUGACGGAGCAACGCCGCGUGAGUGAUGAAGGUCUUCGGAUCGUAAAACUCUGUUAUGAGGGAAGAACAUAUGUGUAAGUAACUGUGCGCAUCUUGACGGUACCUAAUCAGAAAGCCACGGCUAACUACGU